GGCGAAGGCGGCCCCCUGGACAAGACUGACGCUCAGGUGCGAAAGCGUGGGGAGCAAACAGGAUUAGAUACCUGGUAGUCCACGCCGUAAACGAUGUCGAUUUGGAGGUUGUGCCCGUGAGGCGUGGCUUCCGGAGCUAACGCGUUAAAUCGACCGCUGGGGAGUACGGCCGCAAGGUUAAAACUCAAAUGAAUUGACGGGGGCCCGCACAAGCGGUGGAGCAUGUGGUUUAAUUCGAUGCAACGCGAAGAACCUUACCUGGUCUUGACAUCCACAGAACUUUCCAGAGAUGGAUUGGUGCCUUCGGGAACUGUGAGACAGGUGCUGCAUGGCUGUCGUCAGCUCGUGUUGUGAAAUGUUGGGUUAAGUCCCGCAACGAGCGCAACCCUUAUCCUUUGUUGCCAGCGGUCCGGCCGGGAACUCAAAGGAGACUGCCAGUGAUAAACUGGAGGAAGGUGGGGAUGACGUCAAGUCAUCAUGGCCCUUACGACCAGGGCUACACACGUGCUACAAUGGCAUAUACAAAGAGAAGCGACCUCGCGAGAGCAAGCGGACCUCAUAAAGUAUGUCGUAGUCCGGAUUGGAGUCUGCAACUCGACUCCAUGAAGUCGGAAUCGCUAGUAAUCGUAGAUCAGAAUGCUACGGUGAAUACGUUCCCGGGCCUUGUACACACUGCCCGUCACACCAUGGGAGUGGGUUGCAAAAGAAGUAGGUAGCUUAACCUUCGGGAGGGCGCUUACCACUUUGUGAUUCAUGACUGGGGUGAAGUCGUAACAAGGUAACCA
rnacentral:rRNA from 1 species